AAAUUGAAGAGUUUGAUCAUGGCUCAGAUUGAACGCUGGCGGCAGGCCUAACACAUGCAAGUCGAACGGUAACAGGAAGCAGCUUGCUGCUUCGCUGACGAGUGGCGGACGGGUGAGUAAUGUCUGGGAAACUGCCUGAUGGAGGGGGAUAACUACUGGAAACGGUAGCUAAUACCGCAUAACGUCGCAAGACCAAAGAGGGGGACCUUCGGGCCUCUUGCCAUCGGAUGUGCCCAGAUGGGAUUAGCUUGUUGGUGGGGUAACGGCUCACCAAGGCGACGAUCCCUAGCUGGUCUGAGAGGAUGA
rnacentral:rRNA from 1 species